rnacentral:lncRNA from 1 species
CAGCAAGGUUUUGCAUGCUGUUUUUUCCUGUCAUUUUAUCAGGAGAAAUGGUACCCAGAACUGGACUGCACUGUAACUUCAAGGCCUUCUGAGACUGAGGAGAAGGUAGAAGGAAUAUUGUAGAAUGCAACAGGAAGCAGAUGGAGGCUUGUGCCACCUGUGGGAAGGAUGCUGAGGAUGCAUUUCUGGCAGCAAAGCAGCCCUUCUGUGGUACCACACGAGGAAAAACUUCUCCACCCAGAACCUGCUGUGCCCAUUGGAGGAGAACCUUCCCUGGGCCAUGGGCAGCAGUGACCAGUGGUGCUUACACUUAUGCUAAGGAUGUUAACUCUGGCCAGGGAAAGGACAAGAGAACAAGAGCUUCUGGGAAAGCACCUACUACUGAGCCGCCUCCUCUCUGACUUCUCCACAGUCAUGGGAGCACAGCAGGACCGAAGCCAGGAGGAGGAAGGGAAUGUCAGUAACUUGAACCAUUUCGCACCAUUCACAAGCUGCAACAAAGGAUUUGUGACUUUGAAAGAGCAAUUGCUGGUUGUUGGCCGCUAAUCCUCUAGAGGGCGAAUGCUCCCUGUUUUAUCAUAAAGCCUCACAGAAGCAGGAUUUUGUCCUGUAUUACAGUAUUGCAUCUACCCUUGUCUCAUUUAAAACUGAUGUUAUCUCCCUGUCUUAUGGCAAAGCCUCAGCUUAACCCUUGCUUUCUUGUUGGUCACACUGCUGGUUUGAGCUUCCUUCCUUUUACCGCUCGCAUCGCCUUAUUGAUCGUGCUGCUGGCCAAAAGGAGCUUGCUGUUGACACAGUUGGCAGUGGGAAAAGCCGUGCAUUUAUAUCUCAUUAGCUAGGUAGGAUUACAUUAGAAAGCUAAAAUUUGACACUGCUGCAAAAUGAUAAAAUGCCUCCAGCAUUAUUCACUGUCUUCUCUGAAAACCAAGUGCAGUUAUUGCGUGUGCAAUUUAUAACUUCCUUUUUAAAGGAUCUGGGCUGAGACAUGGAUUUCCACUGAAACCAUGCAAAAUUCAUAAUAUGUGGUUGAGGCUGGGUUUUUCUUGUUUACCUUUCCACAAAACUAGCCAUGGCAUAACAGCUUUGAGGUGAGAUCAUUUUAACUUGAAAUUUAAAGCAAAAUCUGGUGGGUUUGCAAACGGAGCCAAAGGGAACUGUGCUUUAAAAUGCCAUAAAAAUGCUGACAAUCCUGAAAAAUCAGGCUGCAGGCAUUUCACGAUAGGAGCAAAAAUGGAUAGUCUUUUGUCAUAAAUACAAAGAGCAAUACCUACCUUUUCCCAGCAUAGUGAAGAUAAGGCCAUGGUUGUGUGGUACAAGACUACACGACGUUCCAAAUAGGAAUCGCUAGCUUCAGGUAAUUUGGUACAGCUAAACAGCAAGGUACAUUACCAUUCAGAGACACUUGUCUGAGUUACAGAAAGUGUGAUUCUCAUACCAUAACAAAAGCCUCUCCAUAGGAAUAGAUGCAACAUGACACUGAUGCAUUUAUAACAGUCCUGGUUUUGUGACUAGCUUGUCCAACACUCCACUGCUUGGUGCAGGUACUCCUAGAAUUAAGGAAUAUUUGUGAAAAACUGAGCAACGGCUAUGAAGAAUAACACACAAAAGCCCAUGAAGAGAUGGGAAUCCUGUACACCCUCAAGGCUUUAAAUGGCAUGCAAUAAAUAAAAUCACAGCACUGAGUGACCUGAGGUU